rnacentral:rRNA from 1 species
UACGUACCGGACAAACGUUAUUCGGAAUUACUGGGCUUAAAGAGUGCGUAGGCGGCUCUGAAGGUGAGGUGUGAAAUCCCACGGCUCAACCGUGGAAUUGCGCUUCAAACCGUGGAGCUAGAGGGAGACAGGGGUGAGUGGAACUGAUGGUGGAGCGGUGAAAUGCGUUGAUAUCAUCAGGAACACCAGUGGCGAAGGCGACUCACUGGGUCUCUUCUGACGCUGAGGCACGAAAGCUAGGGGAGCAAACGGG